rnacentral:rRNA from 1 species
CCUACGGGCGGCUGCAGUCGAGAAUCUUCCGCAAUGGGCGCAAGCCUGACGGAGCGAUGCCGCGUGAGGGAAGAAGGCCUUCGGGUUGUAAACCUCUGUCGCCUGGGACGAAAACAAUGACGGUACCAGGAGAGGAAGUCACGGCUAACUACGUGCCAGCAGCCGCGGUAACACGUAGGUGGCGAGCGUUAUUCGGAUUCACUGGGCGUAAAGGGUCCGCAGGGGGCCUGGCAAGUCUGCCGUGAAAUUCCAGGGCUCAACCCUGGACGUGCGUUGGAAACUGCCGGGCUUGAGUUUAUGAUGGGCAGACGGAACACCUGGUGUAGCGGUGGAAUGCGUGGAUAUCAGGUGGAACUCCGAUGGCGAAGGCGGUCUGCUGGCAUAAUACUGACCCUCAGGGACGAAAGCGUGGGUAGCAAACAGGAUUAGAUACCCCAGUAGUC